GACGAACGCUGGCGGCGUGCCUAAUACAUGCAAGUAGAACGCUGAAGGAGGAGCUUGCUCUUUCCGGAUGAGUUGCGAACGGGUGAGUAACGCGUAGGUAACCUGCCUGGUAGCGGGGGAUAACUAUUGGAAACGAUAGCUAAUACCGCAUAACAGUAGAUAUCGCAUGAUAGCUACUUGAAAGGUGCAAUUGCACCACUAUCAGAUGGACCUGCGUUGUAUUAGCUAGUUGGUGAGGUAACGGCUCACCAAGGCCACGAUACAUAGCCGACCUGAGAGGGUGAUCGGCCACACUGGGACUGAGACACGGCCCAGACUCCUACGGGAGGCAGCAGUAGGGAAUCUUCGGCAAUGGACGGAAGUCUGACCGAGCAACGCCGCGUGAGUGAAGAAGGUUUUCGGAUCGUAAAGCUCUGUUGUAAGAGAAGAACGAGUGUGAGAGUGGAAAGUUCACACUGUGA
rnacentral:rRNA from 1 species